rnacentral:rRNA from 1 species
AUGGCCAAGUAUUUCCAGAGUGCUCCUGUUAGCAAUGAAGCAUUGAAGCACAAGGAGAUUCUGUUGGACGGCCUGUACAUGCACCAGGACCUUGACGGAUCACCAAAUCAGAACCAGAAAACUAUAGUGAAUCCUAACCUCCCUCUGCAGUUUGGCUGCACCGUGGCUAAUGACUGGACCAUAUAUGAUGGCCUUGGCCCCGAUAAGAAGCUUGUUGCGCGUGCACAAGGGCCACAUAUGGGGGCAGGAGUAGCCAAAGGAAGCUGGUUCAUAUGUUUCAACAUGGUGUUCGUCGACGACAGGUUUGCGGGUUCCAGCCUUAAGGUGCUCGGACAUUUUGAAGAGCCGGUAGAAGGUGAGUGGGCAAUCCUUGGCGGGACAGGAGAGUUUGCCUAUGCACAAGGUGUGGUCACCUUCAAGAAACUCCAGGACAGAAGCACUAGGGUCAGACAGCUUCAGAUACGUGCCAUCUGCCUCAGCUUUCCAUCGUCACUUUCAAUGCCUACGAAGAUGGGGCCAUGGGGUGGAAAUGGAGGCUCCAUUCAAGACAUCACCACAGGAACCCCGAUGCGCCUGCAAAGUGUGACACUCAGCAGCGAGAGCAGCUGGAUUGUCUCUCUUGCAUUUACUUAUAUUGACAAACUUGGAAAGAGGCGCAACGAAGGCCCCUGGGGUCCUGACAAAGGGAACAGUCAAACCAUCGAGUUCGGACCUAAAGAAUAUGUGACGGAAAUAUCAGGGACAAUUGACAAUGUUAUAUCGUCACUUGUUAUCACGACAAACAUCAAAAAGUAUGUACCGUUUGGGCAUGAGAAGGGCAACCGUUUCAGCGCCGCCGUGCCAGAAAACACAUGUGUUGUGGGAUUCUUUGCCAGGACCGGGAAUGCUCUUGAUGCCAUUGGCGUUUACCACGGACCCAUAGUGGUUUGA